GGUGUGUACUGGUCUUGAUGGAAGCUUACCUCUUGGUGGGUCGGCAUGCCCUUCGUUGGGUGUGUCGAUUAACCAGGACUUUUACUUUGAGAAAAUUAGAGUGUUCAAAGCAGGCUUUCGCCCGAAUACAUUAGCAUGGAAUAAUAGAAUAGGACGCGCGUCUUUAUUUUGCUGGUUUCUAAAUUCGCCGUAAUGAUUAAUAGGGAUAGUCGGGGGCAUUCGUAUUGCUUGGUCAGAGGUGAAAUUCUUGGAUUCUAGCAAGACGAACUACUGCGAAAGCAUUUGCCAAGGAUGUUUUCAUUGAUCAAGAACGAAGGUUAGGGGAUCGAAAACGAUCAGAUACCGUUGUAGUCUUAACAGUAAACUAUGCCGACUAGGGAUCGGACAAGCACAAUCUAUGACUUGUUCGGCACCUGAAGAGAAAUCUUUAAGUCUAGGUUCGGGGGGGAGUAUGGUCGCAAGGCUGAAACUUAAAGGAAUUGACGGAAGGGCACCACCAGGUGUGGAGCCUGCGGCUUAAUUUGACUCAACACGGGGAAACUCACCAGGUCCAGACACAAUAAGGAUUGACAGAUUGAUAGCUCUUUCUUGAUCUUGUGGUUGGUGGUGCAUGGCCGUUCUUAGUUGGUGGAGUGAUUUGUCUGGUUAAUUCCGAUAACGAACGAGACCUUAACCUGCUAAAUAGACCCGGGGCCUUAGGGAACCGGCUGUCUUCUUAGAGGGACUGUAGG
rnacentral:rRNA from 1 species